UAAAGGCUUGGUCCUAACCUUAUUAUCAGCUUUUCCUAAACUUACACAUGCAAGUCUCAGCACACCUGUGAGGACGCCCUUUCCCCUUCACCAGGCCGAGGAGCUGGCAUCAGGCACCCAAACUAGCCCAUUACGCCUAGUCCUACCACACCCUCAAGGGUUUACAGCAGUGAUAAACAUUGUUUAUAAGCGACAGCUUGACCCAGUUAUAGGAAAAAGAGCUGGCCAACUCGGUGCCAGCCGCCGCGGCUAAACCGCACGAGCUCAAGUUGAUAGUCGUCGGCGUUAAGCGUGAUUAAAGAUUUUUCCUAAUUAGAAUUUAACCUGUACUUAGCUGUAAUAAGCUUGCCUCCGGGAAAACCAAAAACGAAAGUUAUUCUAAUCUUCUUGAAUACACGACAGCCGGA
rnacentral:rRNA from 1 species